rnacentral:rRNA from 1 species
AUUCUAGCCUUGUAGUUUCAAACGCCGAUGCUGAUUAGCUAGUUGGUGGGGUAAAGGCUUACCAAGGCUUCGAUCAGUAGCUGGUCUGAGGGGACGACCAGCCACACUGGGACUGAGACACGGCCCAGACUCCUACGGGAGGCAGCAGUGGGGAAUUUUGGACAAUAGGGGAAACCCUGAUCCAGCCAUGCCGCGUGAGUGAAGAAGGCCUUCGGAUUGUAAAGCUCUUUCAGCCGGAACGAAAAGGUCACGACUAAUACCCGUGACAAAUGACGGUACCGGAAGAAGAAGCACCGGCUAACUACGUGCCAGCAGCCGCGGUAAUACGUGGAGUGCAAGCGUUAAUCGGAAUUACUGGGCGUAAAGCGUGCGCAGGCGGUUUUGUAAGUCAGAUGUGAAAUCCCCGGACUUAACCUGGGAACUGCGUUUGAAACUACAAAGCUAGAAU